AUGAAGCGCGGCCACGGCUCCGGCAGGCUGGCAGGCGACGGUGACGGCGCGUUGCCCGACCUGCCUCCUCCUCCUGCUCCUUCUCGCCGCGGUCGCCUGCACGGGGCCGCCCGACGCCGUGUCCAAGCCCGCGAUGCUCAAGCCCUGCGCCUCCGCCACAGCCUACCCCGCGCUGCUCUCCUACACCCUUCACGCCGACCUCAAACUCGCCGAGCUGGCCGCGCUCUUCGCCGCCGACCCGCUCCGCCAACGCCAUCGACUUCGCCGCCUCGGGCCUGGACGGCCACAUCCUCCCGGCCGGCCUCGCGCUGCGCGUGCCGGUCCCCUGUGCCUGCUCCGGCAGCGCCCGCAGGGCCACCUCCGUCCGCUACGUCUCCUGCCUGGGGGACACGCUCGCCUCCAUCGCCUCGCGCGUCUACGGCGGCCUCACCGCCCCGGACUGGAUCAGGGACUCCAACGGAGGCGUCCUCGACGCCGGGACCGCUCUGCUUGUGCCGCUGCUCUGGCCGGGCGACGAGGAGGAAGACCACGCUCGUGCCGCUGCUCUGGCCGGGCGACGAGGAGGAAGACCAUGCUUGCGCGGACGGGGGAGCGGAGGAGGCUGCCCGCGGCGAGCACGCCGUGCAGCGGGAGGUGGCCGCGUACCUCCGACCCGGCCGUGGCCAGCUGCAUCUCCGACUGCAGCACCUCCCCGGCUCCGCGGCUGCAUCUCCGUGGCCUCCGCGCCCGGUGCCGGGGCCGCCCGUGGCCUCCGCAACCGGUGCCCUCCCCACGAGCUCUCCGCCUCCCUGCUCCGGCGCCCUUCCCGCGAGCUCCCCGCCUCCCUGGUCCGGCGCCCUCCCUCCCCGCGAGCUUCGGCGCCCGCCCGCCGUGACGCCUCGCCCGUGCCCCAGCUCCGGCGCCCUGCUCGCCGCGCCCGUCCCGUCCUGUGCGCGCCUGCUUCGGUGGGUGGGGAUGGGGGAGUGUGAGCACGUGGGUGGGGCCAGCAGAAAAGAGAGGGAGAGAGAGUAG
rnacentral:rRNA from 1 species